rnacentral:rRNA from 1 species
UACGUAGGGGGCAAGCGUUGUUCGGAAUUACUGGGCGUAAAGGGUGCGUAGGCGGCCCGGCAAGUCAGGAGUGAAAGCCCUGGGCUCAACCCGGGAACUGCUUUUGAAACUGCCGAGCUAGAGUGCGGAAGGGGCAACUGGAAUUCCCAGUGUAGCGGUGAAAUGCGUAGAUAUUGGGAAGAACACCUGAGGCGAAGGCGGGUUGCUGGGCCGACACUGACGCUGAUGCGCGAAAGCCAGGGGAGCGAACGGG